UACGUAGGGGGCAAGCGUUGUCCGGAUUUAUUUGGGCGUAAAGAGCGUGUAGGCGGCCGUACAGGUCAGCUGUGAAAACUCGAGGCUCAACCUCGAGACGUCGGUUGAAACCGUACGGCUAGAGUCCGGAAGAGGAGAGUGGAAUUCCCGGUGUAGCGGUGAAAUGCGCAGAUAUCGGGAAGAACACCCGUGGCGAAGGCGGCUCUCUGGGACGGUACUGGACGCUGAGACGCGAAAGCGUGGGGAGCGAACAGG
rnacentral:rRNA from 1 species